rnacentral:piRNA from 2 species
UGGCCGAGGUGUUUAUCAGUGAACUA